GUUUUUGAGAACUUAGAAUGAUGCUAAGAAACAUUAGACCAUAGAUUUUAGUGAAAUUCUAAACAUAGACUCAGUUGACAUGGCAAUGAAUUCAGGAGUAAAGGUGAGUCUCAAUGUCUACCUUGGUUAACACUAUGCUGCAAUACUUCUCUACCUGGCUUAACCAGAAUCUGUCUGUAAGAAUCCUUCAGACAGACAGGCUCUUUCCUCCCCUAUUCCUUAUCACUUUUAUAUAUAGGGUAAAUGUAAUAGUUUUGUAAAAAUCAAGCCUAAUAUUAGUAAUAUUAUUUGAAAACAUCUAAAUGAAUAUUCUCAAUUUGCAGUUAAGAAAAUUGAGAUUUACAGAGAUAAAGAAACUAGACCACAAGAAAAUACAGAGAAAUUACUUAGAAACAGCAAUUAUAAAUUAUCCAGAAACAACUAUUGUAAUUAAUUUAAUGUUGUUGCUGCCACUGGUGCUCUUUCCCAUUCCUUGGAUACGUAGGGGAAUGGGCUUACUGGACUUUCGAUCCCCCCAGUACAUAGUUGUAUAUUCUUCGUUGUGGGUCCUUCUAGUUGUGGCGUGUGGGACGCUGCCUCAGCAUGGCCUGAUGAGCAGUGCCAUGUCCGCGCCCAGGAUUCGAACCAACGAAACACUGGGCCGCCUGCAGUGGAGCGCGCGAACUUAACACCUCCACCACGGGGCCAGCCCCAGUACACAUCCGAUUUUUACGGUUUGGCGGAUCAGAUAACAUCAGGACGCCUGGAAUGCAUAGUCCUUAAUGUUUUGUGGUGAAGCAUUCAGUCUCUAUGAGGCCCAGGAGCAAGUUCUCAAAAGAUAAAUAGUAUCUGGGGACAUGGAUUUCCUAAAAUGCCUGAGGGGUUGGCACAGUGAUUAUACUUUGGGUCUUGCUAAGGGCUCCAUAAAUCAUCCCUGUCUGCUACAAAUACUUCAGUGCCAUUGGAUUUACUAUAUUACAAGCCCAAGGAACAGAGGAGCUUGUAUGUAGCCUGGAUCUGCUGCAGGGCAUUGGUUUGAUUUGAACCUCGUUUAAACUGGUAUCCCAACAGAUACCGAGAAUCUGCAGAGCACCCAAAUGGGUAAACAUCGCCUCAAAAAUGAAAAAGGAACAAUAUGAUGCCAAGCACUGUGAGUGUGUGUGUCUGUCUGUGGGGAGGAUAUAUGCUAGUAAAAAAUGUAUUGACUUUUCUCUAUUUUAAGGGAAUAUUCUGACAAGCCGUAGACCAUUGGAAUGUAAAACUUCACAGAGAGUAACCUAGAAAUCCACCAGAUUCUUCUUCAAGGGGGCAUAGCUUCCCUUCAUUAAAUGACUCUGGAUGUAUAAACUAGUUGCUGUCUGGGAAAUUACUCGUCUGAUUUCUGAUCACCAGAUCCAGAAUCCUCCUGACUAUGUGGCUCAUGUAAUAUUUUACCAGCUGCCCAUCUAUUUCAUUGCCAUGAUCAAUUAGCUAUCACCAACAACCUUCACAUAUUAAAACACUUAUUUACUGCUCCAGCCCUACUUUCGUUAAGUAGCUAUGCCUGCCUUUGUACCUCUGACAGUCCAAGAUCCCACCAUGCCAUUUGAAACUGGGGAGCUGAUUUUAACGGCCACAUCUUCUAACCACAGAUAUGCAGAGGGCAGCCACCACAAUGAUGCUUGUGCUCCACUCACAGAUGCAUAUUAUAAUGUUGGAUUGAAGAGAGAGAGUCUAGGCACUGUUGGGGUACAUUUUUGGGAUUGUGGUGGUUACAUAAGUAAAUUCAGUUAAACAUUCUUAUAUCCUUAAAUCAUCUGUUUAAUACUGCAGAAUUCUGUUAUCUCAGCCUUAUUGAAUAUAGGACAAUUUUGAAUUUAGGCUCCUAUCAAUCAAUUGAGCUACUCUAGUAAACACCUUACUUCUGGAUUUGGGUAAAAACACCAACAUCUACAAAUUUAGCCUAAUCCAAUGUGAUACUCUAUCUUCCUUGGUCUACAUCAGGAGUCAGCAAACUUUUUCCUGAAGGACCCAAUAGUAUAUAUUUUAGGAUUGAUGGCCUUAAGUUUUCUGUUGCAACCACUCAAUCCUGCCAUUGCAGCACCAAAGCAGACAUUGACACAUAUGAAUAAAUAACUGCAUGGUUGUGUUCCAAAAAAACUUCAUUUACAAAAAAAUUGGGACUACAUAAUUCAGUUUUCUGACCCCCGAUCUAAAACUCUAAAAAUUCACUUCCUAAUAUAUUUACCAGCUUUCUGCUGAAGUAAAGUAGCAAUUAGAAAAAUAUUUUGGAGUAUUAACUAUCUCUUCCUCAUUCAGACUUUACAUUUGUCUCCCUAGACCAAGCAUGAUGGGCUAUAACCCUCAUGUUGAGUGUGGGUCAAUGAGAGUAGUAAGGCGGAGUCCUGAUGCAAAUGUGCAUCCCUUUGAAAAGUGAAUCUACAGCUGAUGUCAUUACAGGGUCUUAAAACAAAGGAAGGCCAGUCUCCUCAGACACUGGGAGGACCUGUCUUCCCUGCCUUUAGAAGCUCAAGGGGAUUUGGAUGUUCAAGUUUAUGAGAUUUAUCUAAGUCCUCACAUAUGCCCUCAGUAUAAAUCUCAGGGUCCUACUGCUUUUUCAUCAAUUUUCUAAUUUUCAAUAAGAGCCAUAAGUUUAUGAAUCAACUUAUAUUUUAAUUCUCCUUCAUACAAAGUCAAAUUUUGGAUUUUAAUUUUAGCUGCAACAAUCUUACAAUGAGAUAAGAUGUGCUUGUAGCAUAAGCAUGGAAGGUUAGUGGUUCUCAUUCUGUAACUUGUGCUAGAAUUUUAAAGCCUGUGCUUGUCCUUUUUUCCCCUAAACUCGAUCAGAAAUUGCUAGCAAGUCUGACUGUUUGUAAUUAUCUUUCCCACCAAAGUCAAUUGCAGCAACUAACAGGUGUCUCACAGCUUUGUCUUCAAUUGGCACCCCACUCCAAACAGAAAAAAAAAAUGAAUAAUGAAUUAAAUAACUGUUCUAUUACUGCAUACAUUUACAUUAUCCCACUUUCCACUGGCAAUGAGGUUAUUAUCAUGUUCAAGCCUAGUCAAGUCAGAAAACCCUCCCCAGACUGCCAUCUUCAAAGAUCUACCACCCACAGGACUACUAUGUACUACUACUUCCUAUGGGACUACUUCCUAUAGGAAGUGCAGUGUCAAUCAGAGUCAGCUUGCGAAAAUGGAAAGAAUUCAAGAUAUUCCAAACAGAGAAAGAUUUAAUGCAAGGAACUGGCUACAAACAUGCCAUAAAUCACUGGAUGGAUAAAAGAAAAAAGAGAGUGGUUCCUGAAGAACACUUAAGAGGAGAAAUGAAACUUAGAAAGGAGGAGGUCAUUUCAACCCCUGUACUUGAACCAAGAAGUCUGAACUAACUGCAAUGUAACUGAAGUCACUGCAUGGCCGGUCCUGGAACCACUGGAGAGGUGCUGAGUGGUGAGUGUUUGUCUUGAAAUGGGAUGGCCGCUGCAGAAGCAAAAUGGACUCUUUUUUCUUUCCAACAUGUCUCACCUUAACAAACUUCAUAGGAGGACAGCUGGCAAUGGAUUUGGGAAUGUAGUUUGCAGGCUUCCAGUCUCAGCAGUUCAGAGCCGAGAAGAAAUAAGUGAAAGAGGCCUGCAGUGAAAGGAAAAAAUAUCUGACGAAUAGGUUCUUUGUGGCACAUACUACUUGUUGGUGAACACAGCUGUCUCUCCCCACAAAGGAACAUUUGUGAUGAUAUUACUGUUGACUAUACCAUCAAAUUCCCAUAAGGAAGUAAAAGUUUGGAUCAAGAACAUUUCAACACAAUGAAAAGUUUCUUCAUAUAAAAAAUGGAUUCAGUAGAUAAUCUCAACUACUUUCUUCAUAUUUUAAAAUGUUAUGGCUCUGGACUCAUUGAAAAUGGUGAGUAAGAAAUUCCAAAAUUCUAUCCUUCCAUAAAAACAAUGAAUAAAGUGGAAGAAACUGUUGGAAUCAACUUUUUUGGAACUCUAAAAACUAAAGAAAAACUUAUAGCAACUAAAGGAAUACAUAAUCAAGAAAAGCUGGCUCAAUCUCAACUAGAAUAGUUUUGUGGUAUCUAACCUACCCUGGUCACAUCCUUCUCUUUCCAGCUUAGUAGUUGUUUUGAAGAUAACAACAAUACUCAUUCUUAGUAAAGGUCCUGCAACCCAAAGUUGCAGGAUGAACCUCAUUUGCAAGGAAUUGUACUUGUGAGUUUGACCUAUGUGUUGGCUCCAUGGAGGAUGUCCAAAGGGCUUGUCUUAGCCCUUCCAAUGCUGAAGUUGGUACUCAGGGGGCAUUUGUCUAUAAUAUUUACAGGUGAAAGUGUUAGUCACUACUGCUUGGGUCAAUAGAAGACUGUCAAAGAAAACAAUAGACUAACCAAAAUGCUUGUGAGGAAAGCUGAGAAAUGAGAUGCCUUGGGAGUAAGAGUUUUGAAAAACUUCAACAUAUUCCUGGGAAACUAGAAAGCCAUGAGCACGUGUAUACAUGCAUAUGCUCAGGAAAGACCUGAAAAUACCCUGAGCUCUUACUGAUGGCUGUCACUUAGGCUUUGUGCAAACAGGAAGUGGAGGCUAAGACAUAGUUGCAAACUACCUAGCUGUGUGUUGAAGUUGUAUCCCAACACAUACAGAGCCCAUCUUCAAAGUCCUGAAGAUAUUUCUUGGUCGUAGGCAUUUAAGGAAAUCUCUGCCCAACCUCUAGGUGACCAGUAAGUUAAUGGAACAGAGAUUCAGUGUCCACAUACAGCAAAGAAUACAGACAUUACAAAAUUAGUUAAAUAAAGUUGCUAAACAAACAUCUACAAGAAACAGCAACAACAUCAAACACUGGAGAGGAGGGAAAACUUUUUUUUCCAAAUUUCUAAUAUUAUAAUUUUUGAAAUAUUCAAUUUUCAACAGAAUUUGUGAGAAAUGUAAAGAAACAAUAAAGUAUGAAUUAUGCACAGGAAAAUAGAAGAAAUUACUAGAAACUGUUUCUGAGGAAGACCAGAUAUUGGACUUACUAAACCAAGACUUUAAAUCCAUUAUUUUAAAUAUGCUCAAAAGCUAAAGGAAAACAUAUAUGAAGAACCAAAGAAAACCAUAAGAAAACUAUCUUAUCAAAUAGAGAAAAUCAAUAAAGAGGUAGAAAUUAUGAAAAGGAACCAAACAGAAAUUCUGCAAGUAAAAACUGCAACGACUGAAAUGAAAAAAGUCAUUAGAGAGUUUCAGUGGCAGAUUGGAGCAGGUAGAAGAGAGAGUGGCACAAACCUAAAGAAAGGUCAGUUUUGAGAUCUGUCAAUCUAAUAAUAGAAAGGAAAAAGGAUCAUGCAAAAUGAACACAGCCUAAGAGACCUAUGGGACACCAUCACACCUACCAAUGCACAUAUAAUGAUAGUUUCAGUAAGUUAGGAGAGAAAGAAUGGGUCAGAAAAAAUAUUGAAACAAAUAAUGGCUGAAAACCUACUAAAUUUGACAAAACAGUGAUCUACACAUCCAAAAACCUCAAUAAACUCCAAGUACAAUACACUCGAAGAAAUCCACACUAGACACAUUAUAAUCAAAUUGUUGAAACCUAAAGACAGAGAAUCUUAAAGGUAUCAAAAGAGAAUCAACUUGUCACCUACAAGAGCUUCUCAAUAAGAAUAACUGAUGACUUCUCAUCAAAAACUAUGAGGGCAGAAGGCAGUGGGAUGAUAUAGUCAAAGUGCCUUAAGACAAACAGGACUCUUAGCCAAGAAUUUUAUACCUGACAAAGCUCUUCUUCAAAAGCGAAGCUGAAAUGAAGACACUUGAGAUAAAUAAAAACUGUGAUAGUUUGUCACUAUUAGACCUGCCCUACAAGAAAUGCUAAAGAGAGCCCAUCAAGCUGAAAUAAAGGAUAUAAGAUAGUAACUUGAAUCCACACAAAGAAAACAAUACCAAUAACUAGACAAGAAAAUAUGAAAGAACUUUUAUAUACCUUUUGUGAAAUGAGAAGUGAUGCACCAUCUCAAGAUUCGUGCUCUGAUUUAAAAGAAGCUACAGAGAAGCUACACUGUAUCACAGGAUGGUCCUACUGCUUGUGAAAGCAGGUUUGGAUUUGUAAGCUUGCAAGGCUAGAUCUGCAAUAAAGUGGCGACUUCAAAAUGGCCGUGGAAAGUAUGAAAAUGGGAAAUUAAUGAUUUUACAUUCAGAAACUUUGCUUAUAAUUGAAUCAUGUUAUGUGACAGGCUCUGGAGACACGCAGCUCCCUGAUGGCAGGAAUUCCUUGAAAUAUUUAACAAUGUUUAACUGCAGUGAUGGACUAUUUUAUAGUGCUUAUAGCAUGUCAAUCCAGCUUUUCACUUGCAUCCGCAGUGACAAGCAAGUUCACACAAGGGAAGAGAAAUAGACUAUGAACAUUUAUUUUCCAUAUUUACUACAGUUAUUAACCACUUUGGUCGCUUGCUAUGAGAAAACACCUUGGAAUAAAAAGCUGUGUCCUAAACUAAUGUUCAAGAUAUGUCUAUCUUUUCACUUCUCUUUGAUUUACUCAGAAAAUCAGUGUAAAAAAAACAGUUAACUUAGCCAUAUAUUUUUAAGAAAAAAAUUCAAUUUUAUCACCACUUUGAGCAACCUAAAGCAAUGAAGUAGCAGAGGAAAGAAAUUUGAGGUGAAAAGAGCAAUGGAUUAAAUACUUCAUUCAUUUAUGGAGUGCUUGCUGCAUAAUUACAGAAGUAGGUAUUUCAACUUAUGAAAAGUACAAAGAAAGAAAAGUACUUCAUUAUAAAGCAAUCAAAAAGCUGUC
rnacentral:lncRNA from 1 species